rnacentral:tRNA from 1 species
GGGUGAUUAGCUCAGUUGGUAGAGCAGACGUCUUAUACACGUCCGGUCCCUGGUUCGAGCCCAGGAUCACCCA